AAUCAUGUGGCUCAGUCAUUUAGCAUUGGUUUGAUCCUAAUGUAAGCACUUAUUGUUGACGAUGAUUAAGAGAGAAUCCGAAAUUCAAAUAUGAGUACUUGGGAACGCUCUGAAUCUUCUUCCUCACCUUCGGCACCGUCAUGGUUUUCUCACUUCUGGUCGUCGGCGCUACGGUCCAAACCACUAGCUUCGCCGUCGGAGACCGCAAUCCAUGCUUCCUCCGGCGAAGGUCUUGUCCGCCGUCUCAGUCUCUUUGAUCUCCUUCUUCUCGGCAUUGGAGCUUCUAUCGGCGCCGGAAUCUUUGUUGUUACCGGCACCGUCGCCCACGAUACCGGUCCAGGAGUUACUGUCAGCUUCAUAAUUGCAGGAGGAUCUUGCGUGCUCAAUGCUCUCUGUUAUGCUGAGUUAGCUUCACGCUUUCCAGCUGUUGUUGGGGGAGCAUACUUAUAUGCUUAUACAGCUUUCAAUGAGAUUAUUGCUUUCCUUGUAUUUUCACAGUUGAUGCUUGAUUAUCAUAUUGGUGCAGCUAGCAUAGCUCGCAGUUUAGCAAGUUAUGUGAUUACUGCACUAGAGCUCAUUCCCUUCCUCAAUAACAACAUCCCAAGUUGGGUUGGACAUGGCAGUGAAGAAAUAUAUGGUGCAUUUUCUUUUAAUUUAUUAGCUCCAAUUCUCCUAGUGCUUCUGACAAUUGUUCUAUGUCGAGGUGUUGGAGAAUCUUCAAUAUUAAAUUCAGUGAUGACAGUGACUAAGGUAGUCAUUGUUAUUUUUAUA
rnacentral:misc_RNA from 1 species